rnacentral:rRNA from 1 species
UACGGAGGGUGCGACCGUUACCCGGAAUGAUUGGGCGUAAAGGGUCCGUAGGUGGUGAUGUAUGUCUAUUGUCAAAGGUUCUGGCUUAACCAGAGACAGGCAGUAGAAACUGCAAAACUAGAGUGCAGUCGGGGCAGGGGGAAUUCCUGGUGUAGCGGUGAAAUGCGUAGAGUUCAGGAAGAACACCGGUGGCGAAAGCGCCCUGCUAGGCUGUGACUGACACUGAGGGACGAAAGCUAGGGGAGCGAAUGGG